rnacentral:sRNA from 1 species
UCUUUGGUCUUCGGUGGUGUCUAUCUU